AUACAGUUUGCAACCUGGUGUCAUCCCAACCAAUUUUGAUGUCCAACAAUUACAGGAAAUGCCUAACCUGCCUAGUCCAAGAAGAAAUCUUCAUGAAUCUGAGAACAACAAUGCUAUGAGAAGUCCCACGAUUGCUCUCUGUUCUUGUGAAGGAUCUCCCAUCGCCACCAUCAUUCACCUAAUGGCCGAAAUGAGUUCACGAGAUGAACUUAAAAACAGACUCCGAAGACAGUUAGUGAUAACAAUCCAGCAACGUGAUGAGUAUCAGAGGAGAGACAGAGAAGCCAAAGCCAAAGUGAGGAUGUUUGAGAGAAAGGCCAUUGUGUUGAGGGCACAGGUCAGUGCUUUACAACCAGGUCAAUUCCAUUUACCAUCUGGUCAGAUCUCAAACAACUUGAUGCGAGCCAGCAGACAAAUACAGGAACUGCGUGAACAGGCUAGACAGUAUCAAAUGCCUAUUCCGAUAAGAACUGCUCGUGGAUCUCAGAACAGUGCUAUGAGAUGCCAUGGUGACACUCUCUGUUCUUCUUGUGGCCAACCUCUCACCUCAAUCAGUAUACGCCUACGGCGGUGAUAAAAUCCCGGCAAGCACUGAAAAACACCUUUCGAAGACAAUUCGCGCUGAUAAUCCAGCAACGUGAUGAGCUCAGAGCCAGAGAAGCUGAAGCUAAAGGAAGGAUUUUGGAGAGAAGGCACAUCCUGAUGAAGGCACAAGUCAGAGCUGUGCAUGAGGCCUACCUAAGAGAUAUCAAGUUAGGUAAUCUCAGCAACCCAUAACCAAAUGUUGUGUGAACCAGGGGAUGUGAUGUUUGUGAGAACUUUAUCAAAUAACUUCCAAUUUAUUUGUCACUUACCCAAGUGGUGAGAAAUGGCUAGUUAUUUGAUGCAAGAUGAUUUGCAGUUGACAGCAAGUCAAUAGCCUUAUGACAGGGUUCUCUCAUGAGAGAGUUAGAUGAAAGAAUGAAAAUAUACAAUCAAUUCCAUGCAUUCGUGCAUAACAAAUUCCAUGCAUAAUUCCUUUGAAUACCAUAAUGAUCUUAGCUUUUCUGUACAAUAUUUUAAUACAAAUGUAUACAUUGUAUAUAUUAAUUUUCCCUUUUACCUAUAUUAAAGUGGAUGAGAAAUUCAUUUCUAAUUGUGUGUACGUAACAUAAACCAAUGACUCUAAAGGAGUGUAGGCUAUGUCAUGACGUUGCCCUCUUUGGGUACAGCAGCACUAUUUCCCCCUCCCUCUGCACUAUUCCCCCCCUCCCUCUGCUCCAGCCCUUUUCUAUGCAUCAUUCCCCUACCUCUCACACCCAGGCUGCUGUGGUCAGAAGAGGUAGUAAAUUCCUAGAGAAGAUCCUGCCUCAUGGCCAGACAGUAUAGAGAGAGUGAGUUUUCAUAGAGAGAACAAAGGAGUUUCUUCCAUCUCACAGAACUGGAGAACCAAACAACAUUUAUGUUCUGGAGAAGGUAUAAAAGAUUGAAGAAUCCGGCUACG